rnacentral:lncRNA from 12 species
GUAAGUGGGAAGGGGCCAGAGCUGUGGGGUCUUUUACAGAUAGAUAGCUGGGGCUCAGAGGAAGCCUGCCUGAGAAGUUGAACACUGCCCAUAUCAGUGGUCCACACAACACUUCUGUAAAAAAAAAAAAAAAAAAAAAAAGGAAUGGGGAUGGGACUCUUUCCUCAAAAUACUCUCUGUCAGAAAAUUAUGAUUGUAUACAAAUUUUGUUAAAACAAGAGUCUUCACUGCCAUCUGCUGAAAAAUUGUUGUAACAAAUAUGUGCGUUUGUGAUGUCAACAAUGAGUAUGGUGCCUGUUUGGUCAUGCUGCCCAACCUGCCCAACUAUGAACAGCAACCACUGUUCUUCCCUUGAAGUGCGAGGAGAGCCUCUGUGCUGGGCCUGUAGCAGUGGGCAGCGCCUUGAUGCAAAGGAAUUCACUCUUCCCAGGGGCUCUGCAGAUUGUAGAAGUGUCCAACUCCAGAAAACAUCUGUCCCACCAGCCCAGGCCACGGAGCAAAAUGGGCAGGAAGAAAGUACAGGAGGAAGACACAAGAGAACAAACCACAACGCCCAUGCAAGGCAAAGGAAAGUGGAAAAAAAACAAGCCCGAGAACAGAUGGAGGAAAAGAAUCAGCAACUAACUGGAAAAGGAAGGAAAACAGAGCAGCAGAACAUGAAAGAGCAAAGUGGACUUCAAUGUAAUUAUGUUUUCAGUCCUGGAAAGAACAGCAAUAGGGGGUAUGUGUACAAAUCAAGGAGCUAUCCUCCACCAUGGUGGCCAGGCCCGUGUCCCCACACAGUGACUGGGACAGUGUCUUAGCAUCCACAAUGCCUAGAGGAGUGGGCCCCGAAUGACUGCUCAUUAAAUACGUGUGGAAGGGAGGAGAGACAUUUAUGACAAGAACCCAGGAAAUCAAGAGGAAAAGAGAGUAAGAUUAUACUUGAAGCUAGCUAGCCUCCAGGACUAGGAAACCAAAGCAAAUAAAGAGGGGAUACCAAAGCA